UUUCACAUUUGAUUACUGAGACCCCUUACUCUUCUGCCAGACGACUGAAUGAAGAAACCUUGCUGACAAGACGUGUUGGCCCUCUGACAAAGCAGAGUACAGUUGCAGACACAGAACUUCCUACCAGGAGUGCUCCCAUGGGACCUCAUUCAUGUUCACCUGCAGUACCUCCAGAGAACACUCCCUGCACAGAAGGCCCUCCUCACCAGGUGAACAGCCAACUCUGCUUUCCAUCAUCAAGAGCCUACAGUGCAGGACAAGGCUGGGGAGGGGAUAAACCUGUUUCUCAAAGACAAAGGACAAGCGGACACCUCUAGCCAGGAGUCAAAGUUGAUUUGCAAUCACCCGUCAAGUGGCCAUUCUUUGGCAACGAAGGAGGGCAGGAAGAGAAGAAUCUGCAUUUUAGUAAGCAACAGCCUGGAACCUCUUACCACGAGACUCCAUGUCACCAUCCACAACGGGAAGGAACUUUAUCGAGGGGUCAGGAAAAUGCAUUUCAAAGGGUGACUGGACUAUAAAAAUGAGAGGCAAAAAUACCCCAGGUUCUCUCUCUCUUUCAUCUAAGACAAAGGAACCAGCCUGUGGACUAUGGGAGGGGUUCUGAUGUGAGAAUUUGGUCAGCCCUGUUGCU